rnacentral:rRNA from 1 species
UACGUAGGGUGCGAGCGUUAAUCGGAAUUACUGGGCGUAAAGCGCGUGUAGGCGGCCCUGCAAGUCGGAUGUGAAAUCCCACGGCUCAACCAUGGAAGUGCAUUCGAAACUGCAGAGCUAGAGUCCUGGAGAGGAAGGUGGAAUGCUUGGUGUAGAGGUGAAAUUCGUAGAUAUCAAGCGGAACACCGGUGGCGAAGGCGGCCUUCUGGACAGUGACUGACGCUGAGACGCGAAAGCGUGGGGAGCAAACAGG